AAAGUCCCCUGACCCCAAUUGUCCGUUCGGGGGUCUAGCAGGAGGUCGAGUUGACGAAGCGAUUCGUGGGCUUAAGUGACCUUGAACGAUAGAUGCAACACAGCGGGCUGCAACAAAAGUGAACUCGAAUCAGCCUCGUAAUACUAAGUUGUGUGAGCCGACCGUAUCGUCUGCGCGGGAAGGCUGUUAGAAGACAGGGAUAAAACGGAUACAUGAACUGUCCUCAAACACCGGGGUAUUGGAGGU
rfam:Hapalosiphon sp. MRB220 contig_97, whole genome shotgun sequence.